GACGAACGCUGGCGGCGUGCUUAACACAUGCAAGUCGAGCGGUAAGGCCCUUUCGGGGGUACGACGAGCGGCGAACGGGUGAGUAACACGUGGGUGACCUGCCCUCAGCUCUGGGAUAAGCCUGGGAAACCGGGUCUAAUACUGGAUAUGACUCCAUGACGCAUGUUGUGGGGUGGAAAGCCUUGUGCGGCUGAGGAUGGGCCCGCGGCCUAUCAGCUUGUUGGUGGGGUGAGGCCUACCAAGGCGACGACGGGUAGCCGGCCUGAGAGGGCGACCGGCCACACUGGGACUGAGACAC
rnacentral:rRNA from 1 species